GUCCAGGCGGUAGGCGUAAGCGGGCGGGGAGCUGCCUAGAGCGCUUUCCGUCCCUCGCGCCCCCUCCCCUCUCUUCCCCUCCUCCUCAGUCCGUAGGAGGGCGGGAGCCCUGCGUCACGUGGGCGGUCGUGUCCCCGCCCCGGGGCGCGGCCAGGGGCGGGGCCGAGGGGCGGGCUUAGAAGACUGGACGGAGGUGUGCCGAAGGAGGAGGCGAAUGGGAGGGGGAGGAGUUGAAGCCGACGCUGGCGGAGAGUCUGCGUCAUGACGUCAUGGAAUAGAAUCCUUAUAUACAGGCGCCUGGACGCCAUCUCGGUCUUUAGAAGGUACGAGGUGGCUCUCGGAACGGUGCCAGGCAUGGGUGCCAGGCAUGAAUGCAAUGUGGCUUUAGAUGGCUUCUGGUGGACAGUUGUGUACCAAAGGGAUGAGAACCGCUGCUGGGGUUUUAAAGCACAAGCUUAAUGCUGUAUCCAUGGGCAAACAGGCACUAUGCAGGAAGUUAAGCACUAUGUAGGCACUAAGCUGGAAGUUGAAGGGGUCGACUUGAAUCCUUGACCUGUCCGGGCCAACUUUUUGAUCUUGGGUACACGUUUUUUAUCCAUGGAUGGCUUGCUUGGGGUGCAAAUUUUGGAGAUCUUUUAUAUAAAGGUGUCAAGAGGGGUACUGGCUACAACGCAGGGAGCAAGAAGUUUUAAGCAAAGGCAAAUAUGUUACCCUGAAGAUUUCAAGGUCAGUCAGUCUCUGGUAUAUAUGGGCAUUUAUGACAGCAGUCAUGCAUCUUAACAGUUGACAGGCAGCUGGAUGGAUGCCCAUGGGAUAGGAGAGGAAACAACUUGCAGUUUUUUUUAAAGCCUAUUUUAUUUAUUGGCCAUGCUGCACAGCAUGUAGGAUCUUAGUUCCCCCACCAGGGAUUCAACCUGUGCCCCCUGCAGUGGAAGUGCAGAGCCCUAACCACUGGACCACCAGGGAAUUCUCCAACUUUGAAUUUUAAUAAAUAUUUAUGAACCA